GGGAUUCCCAGGUGUUUCUGUUUGCUGAUCAGGACUGCACACAGAGAACUCACCAUGGAGUUUGGGCUGAGCUGGGUUUUCCUUGUUGCUAUUUUAAAAGGUGUCCAGUGUGUGGUGCAGCUGGUGGAGUCUGGGGGAGGCUUAGUACAGCCUGGAGGGCCCCCGAGACUCUGCUGUGCAGCCUCUGGAUUCACCUUCAGUAGCUACUGGAUGCACUGGGUCUGCCAAGCUCCAGGGAAGGGGCUGGUGUGGGUCUCACAUAUUAAUAGUGAUGGGAGUAGCACAAGCUACGCAGACUCCGUGAAGGGCCGAUUCACCAUCUCCAGAGACAACGCUAAGAACACGCUGUAUCUGAAAAUGAACAGUCUGAGAGCUGAGGACACGGCUGUGUAUUACUGCACUAGAGACACAGUGAGGGGAAGUCAACGUGAGCCCAGACAAAAACCUCGCUGCAAGGGCAUCUGAGACCACGAGGGGGUGUCCUGGGCCCUAUGAACUGGGCUGUUCUCUGUGGCAGGGGCUGGUGGUGCUAAAAGCUGAUUUUCUCUCAGCAUCUGGGGCUGAUUCAUCAAGUUUCCUCAGAGAACCUUUCAGAUUUACAAUUCUGUGCUGACAUUUAAUGUCUCUGAAUGUGA